rnacentral:rRNA from 1 species
GACGAACGCUGGCGGCGUGCCUAAUACAUGCAAGUAGAACGCUGAAGAGAGGAGCUUGCUCUUCUUGGAUGAGUUGCGAACGGGUGAGUAACGCGUAGGUAACCUGCCUGGUAGCGGGGGAUAACUAUUGGAAACGAUAGCUAAUACCGCAUGAUAUUAAUUAUUGCACGAUAAUUGAUUGAAAGAUGCAAUUGCAUCACUACCAGAUGGACCUGCGUUGUAUUAGCUAGUUGGUGAGGUAACGGCUCACCAAGGCGACGAUACAUAGCCGACCUGAGAGGGUGAUCGGCCACACUGGGACUGAGACACGGCCCAGACUCCUACGGGAGGCAGCAGUAGGGAAUCUUCGGCAAUGGGGGGAACCCUGACCGAGCAACGCCGCGUGAGUGAAGAAGGUUUUCGGAUCGUAAAGCUCUGUUGUAAGAGAAGAACGGGUGUGAGAGUGGAAAGUUCACACUGUGACGGUAUCUUACCAGAAAGGGACGGCUAACUACGUGCCAGCAGCCGCGGUAAUACGUAGGUCCCGAGCGUUGUCCGGAUUUAUUGGGCGUAAAGCGAGCGCAGGCGGUUAGAUAAGUCUGAAGUUAAAGGCUGUGGCUUAACCAUAGUAUGCUUUGGAAACUGUUUAACUUGAGUGCAGAAGGGGAGAGUGGACUUCCAUGUGUAGCGGUGAAAUGCGUAGAUAUAUGGAGGAACACCGGUGGCGAAAGCGGCUCUCUGGUCUGUAACUGACGCUGAGGCUCGAAAGCGUGGGGAGCAAACAGG